GACGAACGCUGGCGGCGUGCUUAACACAUGCAAGUCGAACGGUGAAGCUCCAGCUUGCUGGAGUGGAUCAGUGGCGAACGGGUGAGUAACACGUGAGCAACCUGCCCCUGACUCUGGAAUAAGCGCUGGAAACGGCGUCUAAUACUGGAUACGAGAAGGGUCCGCAUGGCCCCUUCUGGAAAGUUUUUCGGUUGGGGAUGGGCUCGCGGCCUAUCAGCUUGUUGGUGAGGUAAUGGCUCACCAAGGCGACGACGGGUAGCCGGCCUGAGAGGGCGACCGGCCACACUGGGACUGAGACACGGCCCAGACUCCUACGGGAGGCAGCAGUGGGGAAUAUUGCACAAUGGGCGAAAGCCUGAUGCAGCGACGCCGCGUGAGGGAUGACGGCCUUCGGGUUGUAAACCUCUUUCAGCAGGGAAGAAGCGAAAGUGACGGUACCUGCAGAAGAAGCACCGGCUAACUACGUG
rnacentral:rRNA from 1 species